rnacentral:rRNA from 1 species
AUGAGGCUCUUGUGUUGGAACUAUCGCGGUCUAGGAACGGACGCGAUAGUGGGCGAGCUAAAAUGGCUCGUUAGUAAAUAUCAUCCCUCCCUCCUCUUCCUAUCCGAGACGAAGAUGAAGGAUUCAAGAGCUCGGAGUUUCAUGUGGUCUCUGGGAUAUUCAGGUGCUUUUGUAGUCAGCUGUGAGGGUUUGAGUGGCGGGCUUGCUCUCUUUUGGUCAUCAAAUAUCUCGGUGUCAUUGAGAGCAUAUUUGAAGCAAUUGAUCGAUAUUAUAGCUAAGGCAGAAGAUGGUGCUAGUUAG